GACGAACGCUGGCGGCGUGCUUAACACAUGCAAGUCGAACGGUGAAGCGCCUUCCUUUUUGGUGGGUGUGGAUGAGUGGCGAACGGGUGAGUAACACGUGAGUAACCUGCCCCCUUCUUCUGGAUAACCGCAUGAAAGUGUGGCUAAUACGGGAUAUUCUGGGUCUGUCGCAUGAUGGGUCUGGGAAAGAUAUUGUUUCGGGGGGGGAUGGGCUCGCGGCCUAUCAGCUUGUUGGUGGGGUGAUGGCCUACCAAGGCGGUGACGGGUAGCCGGCCUGAGAGGGUGGACGGUCACACUGGGACUGAGGCACGGCCCAGACUCCUACGGGAGGCAGCAGUGGGGAAUAUUGCACAAUGGGCGCAAGCCUGAUGCAGCGACGCCGCGUGAGGGAUGGAGGCCUUCGGGUUGUGAACCUCUUUCGCCAGUGAAGCAGGCCUGCCUCGUUUGUGGGUGGGUUGACGGUAGCUGGAUAAGAAGCGCCGGCUAACUACGUG
rnacentral:rRNA from 1 species